rnacentral:lncRNA from 1 species
UCUCUUGCAAUCACCCAAACACCAGGUCUAGGACCUGAAAUCUCUUGAGAAGAGGUUGGUACAAGUCUCUGUCAGAUCUGAAGUUGAUCUGAGGUUGUUUGAGGAGCAGGUGAGAUCUCCAUCAACAGAUCUACAGGAAAGGCUGCAGUAGGACAGAUCUGCAAGGUCUAUCUCCAUCUACCUUCUUCCCUAUCUAGAAUGCUCUGAUUUGAGAUC